rnacentral:tRNA from 1 species
CGCGGAGUGGAGCAGUUUGGUAGCUCGUCGGAACUCAUAACCCGAAGGUCAUAGGUUCAAGUCCUGUCUCCGCAACCA